rnacentral:rRNA from 1 species
GGGUUGUGAGGUUAAGCGACUAAGCGUACACGGUGGAUGCCCUGGCAGUCAGAGGCGAUGAAGGGCGUACUAAUCUGCGAUAAGCGCCGGUAAGGUGAUAUGAACCGUUAUAACCGGCGAUACCCGAAUGGGGAAACCCAGUGUGACUCGUCACACUAUCAUUAACUGAAUCCAUAGGUUAAUGAGGCGAACCGGGGGAACUGAAACAUCUAAGUACCCCGAGGAAAAGAAAUCAACCGAGAUUCCCCCAGUAGCGGCGAGCGAACGGGGAGGAGCCCAGAGCCUGAAUCAGCAUGUGUGUUAGUGGAAGCGUCUGGAAAGGCGCGCGAUACAGGGUGACAGCCCCGUACACAAAAGCGCAUGUGCUGUGAGCUCGAUGAGUAGGGCGGGACACGUGGUAUCCUGUCUGAAUAUGGGGGGACCAUCCUCCAAGGCUAAAUACUCCUGACUGACCGAUAGUGAACCAGUACCGUGAGGGAAAGGCGAAAAGAACCCCGGCGAGGGGAGUGAAAAAGAACCUGAAACCGUGUACGUACAAGCAGUGGGAGCCCCACCACCAAAGCAUUUGCUGUACCGCGUUGACGGAGCGAAGCGACGUCAAACCGAUAAAACAGCAGUGUAAAGUGAGCCGCAGGGCGCUUUGCGCGACAGCGCAAAGGCAGGCGGUUUCGCGUAGCGAAAGCGAAUGCUUUGGGGUGGGGUGACUGCGUACCUUUUGUAUAAUGGGUCAGCGACUUAUAUUCUGUAGCAAGGUUAACCGAAUAGGGGAGCCGGAGGGAAACCGAGUCUUAAUUGGGCGUUAAGUUGCAGGGUAUAGACCCGAAACCCGGUGAUCUAGCCAUGGGCAGGUUGAAGGUUGGGUAACACUAACUGGAGGACCGAACCGACUAAUGUUGAAAAAUUAGCGGAUGACCUGUGGCUGGGGGUGAAAGGCCAAUCAAACCGGGAGAUAGCUGGUUCUCCCCGAAAGCUAUUUAGGUAGCGCCUCGUGAAUUCAUCUCCGGGGGUAGAGCACUGUUUCGGCUAGGGGGCCAUCCCGGCUUACCAACCCGAUGCAAACUGCGAAUACCGGAGAAUGUUAUCACGGGAGACACACGGCGGGUGCUAACGUCCGUCGUGAAGAGGGAAACAACCCAGACCGCCAGCUAAGGUCCCAAAGUCAUGGUUAAGUGGGAAACGAUGUGGGAAGGCCCAGACAGCCAGGAUGUUGGCUUAGAAGCAGCCAUCAUUUAAAGAAAGCGUAAUAGCUCACUGGUCGAGUCGGCCUGCGCGGAAGAUGUAACGGGGCUAAACCAUGCACCGAAGCUGCGGCAGCGACACUGUGUGUUGUUGGGUAGGGGAGCGUUCUGUAAGCCUGUGAAGGUGUGUCGUGAGGCAUGCUGGAGGUAUCAGAAGUGCGAAUGCUGACAUAAGUAACGAUAAAGCGGGUGAAAAGCCCGCUCGCCGGAAGACCAAGGGUUCCUGUCCAACGUUAAUCGGGGCAGGGUGAGUCGACCCCUAAGGCGAGGCCGAAAGGCGUAGUCGAUGGGAAACGGGUUAAUAUUCCCGUACUUGGUGUUACUGCGAAGGGGGGACGGAGAAGGCUAUGUUGGCCGGGCGACGGUUGUCCCGGUUUAAGCGUGUAGGUGUGUGUUCCAGGUAAAUCCGGUUCACUUUAACACUGAGGCGUGACGACGAGGCACUACGGUGCUGAAGCAACAAAUGCCCUGCUUCCAGGAAAAGCCUCUAAGCAUCAGGUAACAUCAAAUCGUACCCCAAACCGACACAGGUGGUCAGGUAGAGAAUACCAAGGCGCUUGAGAGAACUCGGGUGAAGGAACUAGGCAAAAUGGUGCCGUAACUUCGGGAGAAGGCACGCUGACACGUAGGUGAAGUGAUUUACUCAUGGAGCUGAAGUCAGUCGAAGAUACCAGCUGGCUGCAACUGUUUAUUAAAAACACAGCACUGUGCAAACACGAAAGUGGACGUAUACGGUGUGACGCCUGCCCGGUGCCGGAAGGUUAAUUGAUGGGGUCAGCGCAAGCGAAGCUCCUGAUCGAAGCCCCGGUAAACGGCGGCCGUAACUAUAACGGUCCUAAGGUAGCGAAAUUCCUUGUCGGGUAAGUUCCGACCUGCACGAAUGGCGUAAUGAUGGCCAGGCUGUCUCCACCCGAGACUCAGUGAAAUUGAACUCGCUGUGAAGAUGCAGUGUACCCGCGGCAAGACGGAAAGACCCCGUGAACCUUUACUAUAGCUUGACACUGAACAUUGAGCCUUGAUGUGUAGGAUAGGUGGGAGGCUUUGAAGUGUGGACGCCAGUCUGCAUGGAGCCGACCUUGAAAUACCACCCUUUAAUGUUUGAUGUUCUAACGUGGACCCGUUACCCGGGUUGCGGACAGUGUCUGGUGGGUAGUUUGACUGGGGCGGUCUCCUCCUAAAGAGUAACGGAGGAGCACGAAGGUUGGCUAAUCCUGGUCGGACAUCAGGAGGUUAGUGCAAUGGCAUAAGCCAGCUUGACUGCGAGCGUGACGGCGCGAGCAGGUGCGAAAGCAGGUCAUAGUGAUCCGGUGGUUCUGAAUGGAAGGGCCAUCGCUCAACGGAUAAAAGGUACUCCGGGGAUAACAGGCUGAUACCGCCCAAGAGUUCAUAUCGACGGCGGUGUUUGGCACCUCGAUGUCGGCUCAUCACAUCCUGGGGCUGAAGUAGGUCCCAAGGGUAUGGCUGUUCGCCAUUUAAAGUGGUACGCGAGCUGGGUUUAGAACGUCGUGAGACAGUUCGGUCCCUAUCUGCCGUGGGCGCUGGAGAACUGAGGGGGGCUGCUCCUAGUACGAGAGGACCGGAGUGGACGCAUCACUGGUGUUCGGGUUGUCAUGCCAAUGGCACUGCCCGGUAGCUAAAUGCGGAAGAGAUAAGUGCUGAAAGCAUCUAAGCACGAAACUUGCCCCGAG